rnacentral:rRNA from 1 species
GGCAUGCGGAGUAUUG